rnacentral:lncRNA from 13 species
GUUCUACAUACAGUACAUGUAUUGAUAGUCAAUACUGGUCUUUACUAUGGUUCUACAUACAGUAUCUGUAUUGAUAGUCAAUACUGGUCUUUACUAUGGUUCUACAUACAGUACCUGUAUUGAUAGUCCAUACUGGGCUUUACUAUGGUUCUACAUACAGUAUCUGUAUUGAUAGUCAAUACUGGUCUUUACUAUGGUUCUACAUACAGUACCUGUAUUGAUAGUCCAUACUGGGCUUUUACUAUGGUUCUACAUACAGUACCUGCAUUGAUAGUCCAUACUGGGCUUUUACUAUGGUUCUACAUACAGUAUCUGUAUUGAUAGUCCAUACUGGGCUUUACUAUGGUUCUACAUACAGUAUCUGUAUUGAUAGUCCAUACUGGUCUUUACUAUGGUUCUACAUGCAGUAUCUGUAUUGAUAGUCCAUACUGGGCUUUACUAUGGUUCUACAUACAGUAUCUGUAUUGAUAGUCCAUACUGCUGGUCUUUACUAUGGUUCUACAUACAGUAUCUGUACCUGGAGGGUUUCUGCUCAAAUAUUCCCUUAUCUCCACAACUUUAUCUGAUUCUCUCUCUCCCACUUCACUUCGUGGAUUUAAAAAGGAAAUGACUGGAAUAUAUAAACUACCUCUACCCCAUGUCAACACCAAUCCAAUGAUUUUACAUUUGUGAGGAGUAGUGACAGAAUUCUCCACUUCAGGAGGAAGGAGAGAGUAUUGGGACGCCCCCCUGGAGUGAUGAUAGAGGGAUAUGAAAGAGGAGAGAGGUAAUGGUUGUACUCCCCCAUGGAGUGAUGAUAGAGGGAUAUGAAAGAGGAGAGAGGUAAUGGUUGGACUCCCCCAUGGAGUGAUGAUAGAGGGAUGUGAAAUAGGAGAGAGGUAAUGGUUGGACUCCCCCAUGGAGUGAUGAUAGAGGGAUGUGAAAGAGGAGAGAGGUAAUGGUUGUACUGGACUUAUUUAUUCAUUACUGACAUUAUUUUUCAUAUAAUUGCACAACACAAAAUAAAUAAUGUUAGAUAAUGCUCACUUCCUCCUAUAAGAGUCAUUGAAGUGUUGGAUGAGACAGGACCCUGACUUCACCGGGGGAUAUUUGUUGGACUCGUCACAACAGUUGAUGAGGAUCUCAUCAUCCGGCUGCACAACGAAAGCCAGGGGCCGCAGUGUGCUCCAGUCUCCAGCAGGGGGCAGUAAAACACUACGGACCUGAAAGGGACCACAGUGUGCUCCAGUCUCCAGCAGGGGGCAGCAAAACCCUAUGGACCUGAAAGGGACCGCAGUGUGCUCCAGUCUCCAGCAGGGGGCAGUAAAACACUAUGGACCUGAAAGGGAAAGUGAGGAGCAAAAAUCAAAGGUGAAUUUACAUUGAUGUUUCCACAGAGACCUGUCAUAUUCAUUAGGCACCAAACUGAAGAAAAUUAACUGAAACAGGGAGGGACUAGCUGAACAAGAAAUGUUUGAUGUUUGUACUUUUAGGACUUUUCUAUUGGUUCCAUUACAACAAACUCAAUCAACCACUGCUUAUUAAUAGAUUUACAGCCUGUGGAACACUUCUCCAAAGUGGUCUGAAAUCAAGAUGACUGCAGGUCUGAAUCCCAAACUAAUGGGGGGAAAUGGCUCCAUCUAAAAAGUUGGUAUUUAGAGGUAUGAACCUUUCUAUUGGGGUGAACAAUCCCCUUAACAUACAGUACCAGUCAAAAGUUUGGAAAAACUUGGUGUGUUCUGUGAAUAGGAAAUAUAUGACUGUUUCUCACUUGAGUUUUGGG